UACACAUGCAGUCGAACGGCAGCACGGGGGCAACCCUGGUGGCGAGUGGCGAACGGGUGAGUAACAUAUCGGAACGUGCCCUGGAGUGGGGGAUAACUAGUCGAAAGAUUAGCUAAUACCGCAUACGAUCUACGGAUGAAAGUGGGGGAUCGCAAGACCUCAUGCUCGUGGAGCGGCCGAUAUCUGAUUAGCUAGUUGGUGGGGUAAAGGCCUACCAAGGCAUCGAUCAGUAGCUGGUCUGAGAGGACGACCAGCCACACUGGGACUGAGACACGGCCCAGACUCCUACGGGAGGCAGCAGUGGGGAAUUUUGGACAAUGGGCGC
rnacentral:rRNA from 1 species